AGCGAACGCUGGCGGCAGGCUUAACACAUGCAAGUCGAGCGGGCACUUUCGGGUGUCAGCGGCGGACGGGUGAGUAACGCGUGGGAACGUGCCCUCUGGUUCGGAAUAACUCAGGGAAACUUGAGCUAAUACCGGAUACGCCCUUUUGGGGAAAGGCUUGCUGCCGGAGGAUCGGCCCGCGUCUGAUUAGCUAGUUGGUGAGGUAACGGCUCACCAAGGCGACGAUCAGUAGCUGGUCUGAGAGGAUGAUCAGCCACACUGGGACUGAGACACGGCCCAGACUCCUACGGGAGGCAGCAGUGGGGAAUAUUGGACAAUGGGCGCAAGCCUGAUGCAGCCAUGCCGCGUGAGUGAUGAAGGCCUUAGGGUUGUAAAGCUCUUUUAUCCGGGACGAUAAUGACGGUACCGGAGGAAUAAGCCCCGGCUAACUUCGUG
rnacentral:rRNA from 1 species